GUCGAGUAGGAGGCGGGCUCACACCCGCCGUCCUCUCACACCACCGUGCGUACGGUUCCGUACACGGCGGUU
rnacentral:ncRNA from 1 species